AAUGGGCGAAAGCCUGAUGCAGCGACGCCGCGUGGGGGAUGACGGUCUUCGGAUUGUAAACCCCUUUCAGUAGGGACGAAGCGCAAGUGACGGUACCUGCAGAAGAAGCACCGGCUAACUACGUGCCAGCAGCCGCGGUAAUACGUAGGGUGCGAGCGUUGUCCGGAAUUACUGGGCGUAAAGAGCUCGUAGGCGGUUUGUCACGUCGUCUGUGAAAUCCCUCGGCUUAACCGGGGGCGUGCAGGCGAUACGGGCAGACUUGAGUACUACAGGGGAGACUGGAAUUCCUGGUGUAGCGGUGAAAUGCGCAGAUAUCAGGAGGAACACCGGUGGCGAAGGCGGGUCUCUGGGUAGUAACUGACGCUGAGGAGCGAAAGCAUGGGUAGCGAACAGGAUUAGAUACCCUGGUAGUCCAUGCCGUAAACGGUGGGCGCUAGGUGUGGGGUCCUUCCACGGACUCCGUGCCGUAGCUAACGCAUUAAGCGCCCCGCCUGG
rnacentral:rRNA from 1 species